rnacentral:rRNA from 1 species
CCUACGGGUGGCAGCAGUAGGGAAUCUUCCACAAUGGACGAAAGCCUAACGGAGCAACGCCGCGUGAGUGAUGAAGGGUUUCGGCUCGUAAAGCUCUGUCGGCAGUGAAGAAAGAUAGAGGUAGUAACUGGCCUUUAUUUGACGGUACCUGCAUAGAAAGCCACGGCUAACUACGUGCCAGCAGCCGCGGUAAUACGUAGGUGGCAAGCGUUGUCCGGAUUUAUUGGGCGUAAAGCGAGCGCAGGCGGUUCAAUAAGUCAGAUGUGAAAGCCUUCGGCUCAACCGGGGAAUUGCAUCAGAAACUGUUGAACUUGAGUGCAGAAGAGGAGAGUGGAACUCCAGGUGUAGCGGUGGAAUGCGUAGAUAUAUGGAGGAACACCAGUGGCGAAGGCGGCUCUCUGGUCUACAACUGACGCUGAGGCUCGAAAGCAUGGGUAGCGAACAGGAUUAGAUACCCUGGUAGUC